AUUGAACGCUGGCGGCAGGCCUAACACAUGCAAGUCGAGCGAGCGGCGGACGGGUGAGUAAUGUCUGGGAAACUGCCUGAUGGAGGGGGAUAACUACUGGAAACGGUAGCUAAUACCGCAUACCAUCGGAUGUGCCCAGAUGGGAUUAGCUUGUUGGUGGGGUAACGGCUCCCCAAGGCGACGAUCCCUAGAUGGUCUGAGAGGAUGACCAGCCACACUGGAACUUAGACACGGUCCAUACUCCUACGGGAGCCAGCAUUGGGGAAUAUUGCACAAUGGGGGCAAGCCUGAUGCAGCCAUUCCGCGUGUAUGAAGAAUGCCUUCGGGUUGUAAAGUACUUUCAGCGGGGAGGCGUUACCCGCAGAAGAAGCACCGGCUAACUCCGUGCCAGCAGCCUCGGUAAGAC
rnacentral:rRNA from 1 species